AUUGAACGCUGGCGGCAGGCCUAACACAUGCAAGUCGAGCGGCAGCGGAAAGUAGCUUGCUACUUUGCCGGCGAGCGGCGGACGGGUGAGUAAUGCCUGGGAAACUGCCUGAUGGAGGGGGAUAACUACUGGAAACGGUAGCCAAUACCGCAUAACGUCGCAAGACCAAAGAGGGGGACCUUCGGGCCUCUUGCCAUCAGAUGUGCCCAGAUGGGAUUAGCUAGUAGGUGGGGUAACGGCUCACCUAGGCGACGAUCCCUAGCUGGUCUGAGAGGAUGACCAGCCACACUGGAACUGAGACACGGUCCAGACUCCUACGGGAGGCAGCAGUGGGGAAUAUUGCACAAUGGGCGCAAGCCUGAUGCAGCCAUGCCGCGUGUAUGAAGUAGGCCUUCGGGUUGUAAAGUACUUUCAGCGGGGAGGAAGGUGUUGAGGUUAAUAACCUCAGCAAUUGACGUUACCCGCAGAAGAAGCACCGGCUAACUCCGUGCCAGCCGCCGCCGUAA
rnacentral:rRNA from 1 species